AUGACUCAAAAAGUACUGAGUAAAAAGAAAAAAGUACUUCAAUACUGAGGAUGUUUAUUUCUUACAGUUUCUUCAUGGAGAACCAGUACCCAGAUGAAGCCAAGCGAGAGGAGAUUGCCAACGCUUGUAACUCUGUCAUUCAAAAACCAGGUACUACAACUGGUUCACCAACCAUCGGAAGGAGAUGAAAAGAAGAGCUAAUAUCGAAGCUGCCAUUUUGGAAAGCAAUGGAAUUGAGGUGCCAAGUCCAAGCUGCCACUCCAACGGCGAGGAAGGAGAGAUGCUAGAGUUCGCUGAUCAGGUGAAUCAUAGAUUCACAGAGCAAUAAGAGACCUCUUCCUUCAGGAUUGUUGAACAACAAUACCCCUCCUCAUUGGCUACCACAGAGGUCGCAGCCCUGCCGAGCCCCACUCCUCAGACUCCUCAGGUCCUGGAUCAGAAACAGGGAUUCAAAAAGGGAAACUGUGGACGAAGAGUGACUAAAGCUGGUGGAGUUUGGAAUCAUCGUGUUUUGAAUUUUAAAUUUGAUGAAAUAGGAAAAGAAUAAGUGAUCUCCUCCUCCACCCAUGUAAGGGGGGGGUUUGGGGCCUGUGGCACCCAAAACUCUUAGAUAGGUGCUGAUGCUCGCUGAGGUGCCUCUGAUGGUAAGGAGGCCACUGUAUUUAUCAACAGUAAUCCUGCUUAUCAAACGCACCACAUUUUCAUUUCAUGUUUGAAUAUUGUUUUAAAAACAUUUUUUUUUUUCAUUUUUACUUAUUGGCCAAUAUACCUCAGUAUAUUUCAUAUACUUAAAAAUAUAUAUAGGAUGCAUUUGUGCAUUGGUUGUUGUACAGUUAUUGAUCCACAAGGGGGUGCUGUUAUACAAGAUGAACCUCCAGGGUGAACCUGUUGGUUUCAGGUCAGCAUUGUUUUGCACAAACGACAUACUGAAUAUUAUAAUGAAUCCUAAUGACAGUCACGGCAUGACCUAAAUAUCCAGAUUUGUCUUUAUCAUAUUGUCUGUUUUCCCAGAGGAAAUCUAAUUUGUUGUAAAUUUAGAAAACUUUCCCCGUUAGUCAUCUGACAGCUUAAGAAUAGUUUUGUUGAUGUGAAUACAGGGAACAUAAAAGCUCCAACACUAAACACGCCAAGAAAUUAAAAUGUGGAUUUUGUUGAUAUACAGUCAGGAAA